AAUCAACGCUGGCGGCGUGCCUCAGACAUGCAAGUCGAACGCGAAAGUCCCCUUCGGGGGAUAAGUAGAGUGGCGUCCGGGUGAGUAACACGUAGGUAAUCUACCUUCGGUGGGGGAAUAACCCAGGGAACUUGGGCUAAUACCGCAUAAUGCAGCGGCACCACAUGGUGACAGUUGUUAAAGCGGGGGAUCUUCGGAUCUCGCGCCUGAAGAGGAGCCUGCGGCAGACUAGCUAGNGGUAAGGUAACGGCUUACCAAGGCGACGAUCUGUAGCCGGCCUGAGGAGGGCGGGUCGGCCACACUGACACUGACAUACGGGUCAGACUCCUACGGGAGGCAGCAGUCGGGAAUUUUGGGCAAUGGGCGAAAGCCUGACCCAGCAACGCCGCGU
rnacentral:rRNA from 1 species